rnacentral:rRNA from 1 species
GACGAACCGUGCGAACGUUGUUCGGAAUCACUGGGCUUAAAGGGCGCGUAGGCGGCCCGUCAAGUCCCGUGUGAAAGCCCCCGGCUCAACCGGGGAACGGCGCGGGAAACUAGCAGGCUUGAGUUCGGGAGAGGGAAGCGGAAUUCCGGGUGUAGCGGUGAAAUGCGCAGAUAUCCGGAGGAACACCGGUGGCGAAGGCGGCUUCCUGGACCGACACUGACGCUGAGGCGCGAAAGCUAGGGGAGCAAACGGG